GAGCAAGUAACGUCUAAAUUAACUUUUUUUUGCUGAUGAACUGUAUAAAUGAGUGUCUAAUAGUGUUUUAAAUGUGUGCAUUCUUUAUUUUAGCAUUUUGGUGCAUUUUCUUUAAAAAUUAAAAAUUCAGUCUAAAAACCACAGUAAUGCGCCACCUUCAGCUGAAAACAUAGAAUUUGAGUCAUUUUGAAUAAAUUUUUGCCAAUGGCUAAAGAGUAAAGUACUACGUAAACCAGUAGAGUACUACGUAGCAGCUCCGUGCCAAAGUUAUAAAAGCAACGAGCGUCUCGGCCACGCCCUGUGGCGAGUGGGAGUUGGAUUUGCAAGCGAGUGUAGGAGGUCAGCGGCAGUUCAGCAUUAGCAUAUAGCAUUAGCAUAUCCUAGUCUUAGCAUAUCUUUUAGUGUUAUAAAUACUUAUUUAGUGUUAGCUUGGCUGUUGGAUAUUGUAGUUUAGUUAGUGUUUGGCUGUUAGUGUAAUUGGGAAAGUAGUUCGGGUUUAGUGCUCCAUAUCGUGUUAGUAUUGGUGAGUAGGUGUAGUGUAGUAUGCUUGCGCUGACUCUGUGGGCAUUUUACCCGCGAUUCUGCACGUCUCCGUUUGAAGAGGGAGGCUGCCCACCGUGGCUCUUCCGCGAUUUAGAUGCAGCCCACCGACUCUGCUCCCCCACCACGGCGGGCUCCAGUCUGAGGUGAGUAAGCUAAAUAAACGUUUUAACAUCUUCUAAAGACAAUUCCCUACCUAAAUGCAAAGUCUGAGAGACGUGGUUCACUUCCUUUAGCUAGUCAGUCGGUAAUUCUGCAACAGUGGCUCUAACUGACGCAGCACUUGACAGACAGCAUUACAGCGUGAAAUCCAGCUUGUGAACAGGUUCUGUGAGGAAUUCUGUUCAGGAGGUCGCAUUUCAGGCUCUCCACAUCAUAUGUGAUUGACUUUUACCUUAUAAUGAUCACACACUAGGAAUGUUAUAAAGCGCCUAUAUGGGACAGUUUCUUUUGUAUAUUAUCUGACUUUAUAAACUCCCAACAACAAUGUGCUUAUAUAUUUUUUUCAGGCUAAAUCUACCCAAGACACUGGCUGUCAGACUGAUUUAGCUGCAAGAAUGCACUUGUCCAGGCUGACGUGAAACCUUCCCUGUAGCAAAGCCAGCCAGAAUGGAGUUCACAGCCGCAGUGUGUCUGGUGACCCACGGGGACCAUGAUGAAAAUUCAUCUUCCAGAAGGUCCCAGAGCAGCGGCCACACCCCCUGAAAAGACCAAGGUGUGAGGUGUCUGCUGUUGAUUCCAGCUUCCACCUCAGUGACAGUGCAAGCUCAGUGAACUGUUCAAGCCUGGCUGAUCACCUGAUAACUCCUGUCAUCUGGUUAUGACAGCAUGAGGAUGUCCUCACACACCUGUAACCUAUCAGCUCAUCUGGCAGAAUAGAGAGAAGAGACAACACCACAUCUCCUGUUCCUGGAAAGCCUUCAGCCUUCCUUCGAUGACCGAGAACCUCCAUCAGCUCUGUCUCCUGUCUGCCUACAAUUAUUAUAAUAAAUAUUGUGUUUGACAAGUUUUUUUGUGCUGCCAAAUAUCUCAUAUAGAUUCCAGUUUUGAUAUUUUAAUGGAUAUUUAUAAAUUACAUUAAUUGAAUUAUCACAAUGCAUGUUUAACUAGCUCUAUUGUGAUGAAUUAAACUAGCACCUCACUGUUAAAAGCUCGUUUUAAUUUCAAGCAUGUUUAAGUAUUUAUGGACAUGAACUAAAACAGGAAAUAUAUAAAUUGAGAUUUAUUUAAUUAAUAUAACAAAUAAGGGGGAAAGAGUCAUUGAAAGGCACAUUCUUCUGGAAGCUCCUGAUCCUGACGACACCAGCAGAGGAGACCACCUGCAGACACCAGAGGACCUAGAACCAAGAGAGCAGCUGUUAUCAGAAAAUAAAUA